rnacentral:rRNA from 1 species
UACGGGGGGGGCAAGCGUUGUUCGGAAUUACUGGGCGUAAAGGGCUCGUAGGCGGCCAACUAAGUCAGACGUGAAAUCCCCAGGCUCAACCUGGGAACUGCGUCUGAUACUGAUUGGCUUGAAUCCGGGAGAGGGAUGCAGAAUUCCAGGUGUAGCGGUGAAAUGCGUAGAUAUCUGGAGGAAUAUCGGUGGCGAAGGCGGCAUCCUGGACCGGCAUUGACGCUGAGGAGCGAAAGCCAGGGGAGCAAACGGG